GGUAAUUUAUAUAAACUAAAAAUUUGAAACCACGUACAUUUAAUAAUUUAUAAUAAUAUAUUUAAAUCAUUUAUGAUGCUUAUUUGUAUACAUUUUUUUUUUUUUAAAUUAAAGUGUUUUAACUUAAAAUUACAUAAAUUCAAAAUAUGUGUAUGAGUAUUUUAUGAUAAUAUACCUAUUUUAUAUAAUAUUGUGUGUAUAUCUAUAUUACCACUUAAUCUAUUACUUAAAAACAAAAAACAUAAAAGAUAGACAAACAAAUGGAAAACGCAUUUUCUCUUAAUAUUAUAAUGUUAAAGCCGCGUGGUCGCGUAGAUACAUUAAAUUUCUUAUAUAUACAUAAUAUAAUAUGUAUUUCAAAUCAUUUCACAAAAUUCCGGCAUAAAAUACUGUUGAAUAAUAUUUUUUUAGUUAUACAUACAAAUACACACACAUAAAUAUAUAAUAUGUUUUUUAAAAUGUCUGAAGGUAAAACCAUAGAUAACUUACAAUAACAUUACAAUUCUAUACCACGGUAAUGUAUUCGUCGUAUGAUAGACAGUGAUGUGCAAAACAUUUUUUUAUUUUGUGUUUGAUGGAGCCCAGAAGUUCGCUUUACUUAUUACCACCAUCACCCUUUUAUGAGCUAACCAGUAAUAAAUUAGUUAUUACUUGAACUCGUUGUUCUUACUAUCCACUACUCACCAAUUUUGGUCAAAGCACAUGCCUGAAAAAUAAAACACUCUGCCACUGAAUUACGCCAUAGAAUCGGUAGGUACUUGAAAUAUUUAGAAAAAUAUAUAUUUAUACAUUUGCGUAUUACACCCCAGAGAUGAAUUUGUCUAAUUCAAUUUUGUAAAUUUUGUACGUCAUAUAUGUAUAUAUAUUUAAGGGUAUAUUAUUUUUAUGUGAAAUAAGCGGUGUUUUCGGUUGACACGGAAACAUUUCGUACACUAUAGCUGCACACUUACGCCAAGAACACUGAAAUUAUUUUACUAAACGCUCGACCUUUUAUUAUAAUUUACUCGUAUAAUAUUAUUAUACGACGACGUUGAAUUAUUAUAAUACAUACUAAUGUGAUCAAAUCGUAUUAUAUUCUUGCACGACAAUAUACGGUUUUGUAGGUUGGGAAUACCGUGGGGAAAGGUUAUACCAGUAUAGCGGGUCACCCGAGGGAAGUUUCGAAAGGGCUCAGAUGGCAUAUAACUGGAAAAUUUAUUUGUGUAUGAAAAUAUCGACACUAAGUUUAAACCAAUAAUAAGUCAUGUAAUAAUAACAUUUAAAACGACGCAGUGACGGUAAACGAUUUAAAAUCAUUAAAACAUUAGGUAGGUAGAGAUUCAUUUCGAAAUAUAUAAUACUCGUAAUAUAUAAUCCGUUUUACUUCCAAAUUUAAUUAUAGAGGUACUUACCUAAUUUGAUAGUUUUGUUUUAAACUGAAUAAGCAUAUGCGCUCGUUGGUAAGUAGUUACCGUCGACUGGGUUAAGUUCGGAACUUAUUAUACAAUUAUUUAUAUAGGCAAUAUUAAAUUAACUGUUUUAUGUCUUCCGUUAAACACCUCCAAAAAUUAAUAAUAUUUUAAGUUUGAGUGUAUAACAUCGAAUUGUUAUUAAUAUAAUUUUGAAUGAAUUGAAUAAUAUAGUUAUACGUAUAUGUACAGUUCAAAGGGUAUUAUUUAAAAAAAAAAAAAUAAAAAAAUAAAACAAAAACAAAAAAAAAAGAUUAUUCCUUAAAAGUGACGGAGUCGUAUUAUCGAGAUAACAAGUCAAUUGUCGAUCAAUCAUAAAUAUGUUAUUUUUUCUUAAAGUUUGAUAUUGUUUUUUUUUUUUUUUUUAAUUCUGAGAGUAACGAAAAAUAUAUUGGUUUUAGUAUGAUGUUUAUUAUUAUUUUUUUUUUUUGAUAUUACUAUAGUUUCGACGCUGCACUUUUAUAUGAGCGAGUGGAUUACAAACGAAUAGUAUUGUAAACAAAUUCAGAUUCUAAAAUAUAUUUAACGAAUUCAGACUGAUCCGUUUAAUCUGGAUUGAUAU